AGAUAGGUGGAAGAAGGUACCAGCAAGGCCAGGUACUUAACAGAUUUUCGGUGGGAGGCCUAGAAUCUGUGCUGGAAACAUGCUUGCUCGGAUACAACUUGCACUCCUUCUACAUCACCUUUCUGUUGGAUGCAAGAAUGCAAAGAAAAACCGAUCUUUUUCAGUACCAGCUUCUCAUUUAAAUGCAAUCAACCAGAGCCUUUUUUGAUUGAAAUUAAUUUGUCAAAAUUUUCAGGUACUUAUUCCUGGUGCGAAGAUGAUUUUAUCUGCCUCAUCUUGCACCAGCUGAUGGAGUUGAGGUCGCAUUCAGCAGAAUUUAAGGGAUAUAUGUG
rnacentral:misc_RNA from 1 species